UUAUGACCACAUCAGGUUGAAAAACCAAUUCCCAUACAAUCACCAAAGUUAAGCAAGAUUGUGCCUGGUCAAUACCUAGAUAGGGGACUACUUGGUAAUAUCAGGUGCUGUAAG